CUCUAAAUUCAACUGAAUUUCCCAUCAUAUCUGCUGGUGUUUAAAGAAGAGGUUUAUCUUCAGCAAUAAUAUAACUUGUGUUAAGACAUUUGAUUCUGAUAGCUUUGCUUUUCUCUCCUCCCCCUCAAUCCCCACCAACUCUUAGCAUUUCCUUGAGCUCUUCUGAGAAAAACCUGAACGUUGGAUGUACUAUGGGCAUUACAACUAUGGACAGAAUGACUACUGGCAGAAAUGAACACCAUGUGAGAAUUCUGGGAGCAAAGAUCUACACAAAACAACAAGGAAGUAAAGGAAGUCAGCUUGAUAAUACAGGAGGGAGGCUCUUUUUUCUGAGGUCAUUGCCAGAUGAAGCACUGAAGAAUUAGCAGGCUUUCGCUCCAUUUGCUUUGGACAGAUUUAAAGACUAGGCACAGCCAUUUGUGUUAAUUAAAAUCUCUCGCACCUUU
rnacentral:sRNA from 1 species